UAUAAAGCUGUGACUAAGAAGUAGUAAGAAAAACAAAAUUUCCUCACAGAAAGCAACCGGUUGAUGAGAGGUGCGUGGAAUAGAUUUUCUGAAUUCAUCUUAUGAGCUGCCCUUUGAACUGAUUUUCUAAGUAGAAGGUGUCGGUAACAUCCGUUAAAAAUGUAAAGUAUUUAUUUAGAUACUUAUUGAGUUCGACAGCGUGAGUUGUUGAUAAACUUAGGUGGUAACACGGUAAUAACCCGUCCUUUGA
rnacentral:ncRNA from 1 species